GAAAUGCGAUAACUAGUGUGAAUUGCAGAAUUCCGUGAAUCAUCGAGUCUUUGAACGCACAUUGCGCCCCCUGGUAUUCCGGGGGGCAUGCCUGUCCGAGCGUCAUUGCUGCCCAUCAAGCACGGCUUGUGUGUUGGGUCGUCGUCCCCUCUCCGGGGGGGACGGGCCCCAAAGGCAGCGGCGGCACCGCGUCCGAUCCUCGAGCGUAUGGGGCUUUGUCACCCGCUCUGUAGGCCUGGCCGGCGCUUUCCGAACGCAAAUCAAUCUUUUUCCAGGUUGACCUCGGAUCAGGUAGGGAUACCCGCUGAACUUAAGC
rnacentral:misc_RNA from 1 species